rnacentral:tRNA from 1 species
AGCGGCUUGGCGCAGGGGAAGCGUGUCUGGCUCAUAACCAGAAGGUCGGAGGAUCGAAACCUCCAGCCGCUA